rnacentral:lncRNA from 1 species
CCUGCCCCAGCCCGCCAGCCCGCCACCCUCUUCGCUAGCGAACAGCACGCGCUCUUCCUCACUCUCGCCCCCUCCCUCCCCACCUCGUGCGCCUCCUCCCUUACCCCUCCACCAGGCGGCGCGAGCUGAGCCUCGUACCCGUCCCUGCGGCUCUGCUCCCCCCACCCCGCCACCGCCUUCCAGCGCGCUCCCGCCCGCCUGUCGAGAGGGGAAGGGGAGGGGGCGCACAAGCUCCCGGCCCGCCCCCCUCCCGCCCACCAGCCGAGGGCGCUUCUGCCAGCGCGGGGCCGGAGUAGUCUCGGCUGUUGGAACGGUGGGGCCGCAGCCGCCGCAGCCGGUAACAGCCGCCGCGCGAGCGGGUGCAGGCGGGGGACUUCGCCCCGGGCUGGGGUCUCUCGCUCAGCCCCCCGCGAGUCCGGCCCCCGGGUGGGGCAGGUGGAGGGAGCUCAAGGUAGGACCCUCCCUCCGAAGCCCCCGGGAGCGAAGGCGCAGCAGCUGCCCCAGCUCCCGAGCAGGCGGGGAUGCGCAGGGCGGGGGUCACGUCGUAAGUCCCGGACCGGAGCCGGAGCGAGUCCCCGGUACUGCUGCACAUACAAAUCUAGUGUGGCCAAGGAAAUCGAGCCAUUUCGGGUAAGAACAAUACAGAAUCUCACAGAGAGUUUAUUCAAAAGAUAAGGUGAUUUUGUGCUGGUGAAUACUCGAGCAAAUCUUUAUCAGAAUCCUUUUGAAGAUGAACUGCAAAGAUCAUUACAGGGGUAUCAUUUACAAUUGAGAUUUUUAAAAUAGUGAUUAUUUUUGUAAUUGUAAAGAACAAUAGGAUAUAGAAAGAAAGGGGGCAUUGAGAGGUUAGGAUAUUUAAUAUUCUGAUACAAUAUUAGUAAGUCAGAUAACUUUUGAGAGCAUCCAUUUCUGGUUUCCUGGCUUUGUUUAAUAAAUUUUAAUAUUCCUUCCCA